CCUACGGGGGGCAGCAGUGAGGAAUAUUGGUCAAUGGGCGAGAGCCUGAACCAGCCAAGUCGCGUGAGGGAAGACGGUCCUAUGGAUUGUAAACCUCUUUUGUCGGGGAGCAAAAAGGCCUCGUGAGGCCACAAGUGAGAGUACCCGAAGAAAAAGCAUCGGCUAACUCCGUGCCAGCAGCCGCGGUAAUACGGAGGAUGCGAGCGUUAUCCGGAUUUAUUGGGUUUAAAGGGUGCGUAGGCGGGUUAUCAAGUCAGCGGUAAAAUCGUGGAGCUCAACUCCAUCCAGCCGUUGAAACUGAUGAUCUUGAGUGGGCGAGAAGUAUGCGGAAUGCGUGGUGUAGCGGUGAAAUGCAUAGAUAUCACGCAGAACUCCGAUUGCGAAGGCAGCAUACCGGCGCCCGACUGACGCUGAAGCACGAAAGCGUGGGUAUCGAACAGGAUUAGAUACCCGGGUAGUC
rnacentral:rRNA from 1 species